ACAUCCAGCGGAAUUCGGUAGAGAUACCUUAGUGCCUUCGGGAACGCUGAGCAGGUGCUGCAUGGCUGUCGUCAGCUCGUGUUGUGAAAUGUUGGGUUAAGUCCCGCAACGAGCGCAACCCUUAUCCUUUGUUGCCAGCGGUCCGGCCGGGAACUCAAAGGAGACUGCCAGUGAUAAACUGGAGGAAGGUGGGGAUGACGUCAAGUCAUCAUGGCCCUUACGAGUAGGGCUACACACGUGCUACAAUGGCGCAUACAAAGAGAAGCGACCUCGCGAGAGCAAGCGGACCUCAUAAAGUGCGUCGUAGUCCGGAUUGGAGUCUGCAACUCGACUCCAUGAAGUCGGAAUCGCUAGUAAUCGUAGAUCAGAAUGCUACGGUGAAUACGUUCCCGGGCCUUGUACACACCGCCCGUCACACCAUGGGAGUGGGUUGCAAAAGAAGUAGGUAGCUUAACCUUCGGGAGGGCGCUUACCACUUUGUGAUUCAUGACUGGGGUGAAGUCGUAACAAGGUAAGCGUAGCGAG
rnacentral:rRNA from 1 species